AUUGAACGCUGGCGGCAGGCCUAACACAUGCAAGUCGAGCGGAGCGGCGGACGGGUGGGUAAUGCCUAGGAAUCUGCCUGGGAGUGAGGGAUAACGCCGGGAAACGGGCGCUAAUACAGCAUACUAGCAGAUGAGACUAGGUGGGAUUAGCUAGAUGGUGGGGUAAAGGCCUACCAAGGCGACGAUCCGUAACUGGUCUGAGAGGAUGAUCAGUCACACUGGAACUGAGACACGGUCCAGACUCCUACGGGAGGCAGCAGUGGGGAAUAUUGGACAAUGGGCGAAAGCCUGAUCGAGCCAUGCCGCGUGUGUGAAGAAGGUCUUCGGAUUGUAAAGCACUUUAGUUUGGGAGGCGUUACCAACAGAAUAAGCACCGGCUAACUUCGUGCCAGCAGCCGCGGUAAUUC
rnacentral:rRNA from 1 species